rnacentral:rRNA from 1 species
UACACUCCUACGGGAGGCAGCAGUGGGGAAUUUUGGACAAUGGGCGAAAGCCUGAUCCGGCAAUGCCGCGUGAGUGAAGAAGGCCUUCGGGUUGUAAAGCUCUUUUGUCAGGGAAGAAACGGUGAAAGCUAAUAUCUUUUGCUAAUGACGGUACCUGAAGAAUAAGCACCGGCUAACUACGUGCCAGCAGCCGCGGUAAUACGUAGGGUGCAAGCGUUAAUCGGAAUUACUGGGCGUAAAGCGUGCGCAGGCGGUUUUGUAAGUCUGAUGUGAAAUCCCCGGGCUCAACCUGGGAAUUGCAUUGGAGACUGCAAGGCUAGAAUCUGGCAGAGGGGGGUAGAAUUCCACGUGUAGCAGUGAAAUGCGUAGAUAUGUGGAGGAACACCGAUGGCGAAGGCAGCCCCCUGGGUCAAGAUUGACGCUCAUGCACGAAAGCGUGGGGAGCAAACAGGAUUAGAUACCCCGGUAGUCC